GACGUAGGGCGCGAGCGUUGUCCGGAUUUAUUGGGCGUAAAGAGCUCGUAGGCGGCUUGUCGCGUCGUCCGUGAAAACCUGGGGCUCAACCCCAGGCUUGCGGUCGAUACGGGCAGGCUCGAGUUCGGUAGGGGAGACUGGAAUUCCUGGUGUAGCGGUGAAAAUGCGCAGAUAUCAGGAGGAACACCGGUGGCGAAGGCGGGUCUCUGGGCCGAUACUGACGCUGAGGAGCGAAAGCGUGGGGAGCGAACAGG
rnacentral:rRNA from 1 species